rnacentral:sRNA from 2 species
AAAAUUGUUUUCUAGGGUUCCGCAAUGAUUAUGUUGGUCCGGUCCGAGAGAAAACUCACAGUUCUAUAGCUGUGCCACGGAGGGAUAAAAGCCCGGGAGAA